rnacentral:rRNA from 1 species
AUUGAACGCUGGCGGCAUGCCUUACACAUGCAAGUCGAACGGUAACAGGUUAAGCUGACGAGUGGCGAACGGGUGAGUAAUGUAUCGGAACGUGCCCAGUCGUGGGGGAUAACUACUCGAAAGCGUGGCUAAUACCGCAUCCGACCUGCGGGUGAAAGCGGGGGACCGUAAGGCCUCGCGCGAUUGGAGCGGCCGAUAUCAGAUUAGGUAGUUGGUGGGGUAAAGGCCUACCAAGCCGACGAUCUGUAGCUGGUCUGAGAGGACGACCAGCCACACUGGGACUGAGACACGGCCCAGACUCCUACGGGAGGCAGCAGUGGGGAAUUUUGGACAAUGGACGCAAGUCUGAUCCAGCCAUGCCGCGUGCGGGAAGAAGGCCUUCGGGUUGUAAACCGCUUUUGUCAGGGAAGAAACGGGUUUCUCUAAUACAGAGACCUAAUGACGGUACCUGAAGAAUAAGCACCGGCUAACUACGUGCCAGCCGCCGCGGUAAAAC